GAAGCGAUGCGCCAACGCACAGGUCUUUUUGUUAUCGAGGGAUGCCACUGAUGGGCACACCGGCAGAUAUAUGUACAGACGCUGAGAGUGGCAGGAGCCCGUGAGCUGCAUCAAAGGGGCUGCUAAGGACCCUUCUUUGUGCACUAUAUAUAUAUUUUCAUUGCUUCUGCCCCUCUGCGCACUCUUGUGUGUAUGUUGGUGGUGCAUCGAGCAGGUAUCUGUGUGCGGAUGCUGUGCCAGACCGCAGCCAUGAUGGAGGCUUCUUCCUUCAGGGAUUCAUCCAUGUUUUGUGUUUGUUUUUUCUUCGAUGGAUCCUCACUGCCUACGAAUGUCUCGCUCCGCCCUCUCCCAGCCGCUGGUCAUCGGUCGGAGCGCCCCACGAUUCUGUAUCAGGCGAAAGGUGAAGAUAAACGGAGUUGGGCAGAAAAGGGAAUCCCCUCCCCACUGAAGCCUUCCUGGUUGCGGCGCCGCUGAGGGAUUAAGAAGUGAUGAGAAUACACACACUGUGCCCAUGCACAGUCCACGCUGUCACCGUCUAGUAGAGUGGCUUGCUGGCUCUUGUGCCCCCUGAAACUGGUGUUGGAACGUGGGAAACGCGACGAUACAUAGGCGAGAGACUCGAUAUUGUUGACCAAAACAAGUGCACGUGCACCGUCUCUUACUUCGUCACUUUUCCACCACAUAACACAACGAUAGAGAGAUGCGCGCUGCGUGUGCGUGUGUUGCGACUGAGCGCGCGUGUGAUGAUGUACAGAGUGUGCGAAGACGCAUGUCGCGUAGCCGCCGGCUGUGCGCGCCUGACGAACUACUGUAUUUCACGGGUGAACAAUCUCUGAUGCGCGUUGGGCUUCUGCGUGUGGUGGCGCGCGUGUGCGGUGCUGGUUGUUGUGCGGAGAAGGGGAUGUGUGCGGGCCGCGGCGAUGAUGCAGACACAUCAAUACUCACUCUGACGUGUGCGUGGCGGUGGACCGCUGCGCACUGUGCGGAUACAAGGAUAACAUGCACUACCAGCUGAUGGCCGUUGGGUGCUGUGUGCGGUUGCUGUUUUGAUGAAUGUGUGUGGCUCGGUGCCAGGGUUACGUCGUCAGAGAUGUCUGCGUUUGGGACAGUAAACGGAUAUGUUUUCGCGUACGUGCAGUAGAGGGCUCUGCAUACUUUUUCUUAUUGGAAGCGAGCUGUGUGUUCCCUUGUGGAAAGUCGGGUUGGUGACAUAGGGCUGUUGCAGCGGCGACGUUGAAAGUGAAGGUAGAGGAGGUACGCGGAGGUGCAAUAUCCUGAAUGGUAGGAUGCUCGCACGGUUUCUUCAUGCCUCUUAGGCCUUUUUUUGCUGAAGCCACGGACGCAUUUCUUUCGACGCGACGGCCGGACGCUCUUGUGCUGUAGGUGCUUUACAUCUACGGAGCCGAUGCUGAGCUUUUCCUUGUUGCUGGGGAAGCUUUUUUUGUGCACCACACGCUUCUUUUUGAGUGAGAUGAAAGAGCAGAGGUGGGGGUCUCCUGUUUGGGUGCAGAGUGCAUGUUGCGUGCUCACCGAAUGAAACGAUUGACAUCUCUGCCAGUGAGUGGGGAGCUUUCAGCGUACUUUGUGCCCGACGUGCGCCUCUCGUAGCUACUUCUCUCUCGCGAAGGCUGUGGCACGGAACACCUCACUCUCUGCGUGGAUGCUUGCUAGGAUGGAAAAGAUCGCUCAAAUUUGUGCUUCCUCUUCCGCUCCCGCUGCAGUGCUGCUGACUGUGUAGCGGGAUAUGGUAUGUCUCGCUGCAUGUGGCAGCGCGUCGCGCACCGGUUUCUUCCGCCUCUGUUCAUGCUUUGCGUAUUCAUGUGUUGCAGAGGUGACCGCGAGCCGUCUUUCCUGCACAUAUUCUGCCCCUC
rnacentral:misc_RNA from 1 species